UGGAUAAUCUGUCUAAUUUUUUACCUAUAGUAAACAUGCUAGUCUAACUAGGAACAACUGGCUAUACUAUAGAAUGCUGUAUAAGAAUUAAGAGGCAAUUCAGCACAGUUUAUAAUGUAAAAUAGUAGAGUAAUGUUUACAUAGUACAAAUUGAGUUGAGGAUUACGCUAUGCUGGCUCUUUGUACUGUGAGUGGUGAUCACCAUGCACGUAGUGGGUAAAUAUACGCAGAAUUAACAUUCAGCAUGGUAUGUAGCUUAAUUUAAGAAUGGCAGUUACAUGCGCCAAGAGUGAGUUAUAACAUGCUGACUUCAACCUGUAAUGCACGCUAUAUAUACCACUGGAGUCUGGUCCAAGAACUAAAAAAUUGCAUAACAUGCUAGGUCAAAUUACUCAUUCAGCAAUGUUUGGCAUGAGAGUGGAGUAAAAUUAUAAGUGAAUAGGCAGAAAUAAAAUAAAAU